UUUCCAUCCUCCCAACGUAGACGGAAUUUGGAUUCAAUGACAAAACAUAAAAGGAAAAGAAACAAAAUUCUCGUCUACCGAGAAUGCAUUCUAAAUAAUUCCAUUACAAGCAUCCCCAGCUUCCGUUCUGCGGAACGCAAACAAAGAGAAACCACCCACCCGGAUGCAUUAAAUGAGGAUGCAUUUCUCCCACCAAGCCACCCAACCAAAAAUUAUAAAACCGGAAAGAAAGAAAAACCUUCCCAUAUAAGAAACCGAAUACAUAACGAUGGAGCGGGGGAAGCCAUUGGCAUUUGACUCCGCGCCUUUGUGCGGGUUUAAAUAGUCAAACACGUGGUGGUGUGGCUCCAGAGAGCGAAAAGUACAUAAAACAAAACUUUUCCAUCUCCGUCUCUUUGAUUUAACCGGUGUGGAACAUAAAGCAAAGGUACGAACUUUUGGGCAAAACAAAGAACGCAGAGGUCAAAACAAAAUUAAACCAAAACAUAUGGUUAGCGGGUGGGAGUUUGCGCAAUGAUUGAUUGACUGUGGCUCCAGAGAGUAAAAUGUGAUAUUUCAUUCUAAAAACUUACCGCUGCUCGUUUAGCAAUUCCUUUCGAGCCCGGUGGCAACUGGUAGCAUUUGCGAUCGCCGAAAGCCGGUGCAGAUUUGGCCGCGUCACGGAAUGGGCCGUAAAACCCAGAUGCGAAUUUCACCGAAUACGACAAAACCGAAACACGAUUUUCCAGUUUAUUGUCCCGCAGAAUCCGUUUGAUGGCACCGAUCCGAUUGUCCAUCAUGUCCGAGGGUGCCACAAUGUGAGCACCAGCCCUGGCAUAGGCCAGAGAAAUUUCUGCUAUCCUCCGGAUGCUCGGUUCAUUGUCGAUGGUGCCGUCUUCGGUUAGGAUGCCACAAUGGCCGUGACUGGUGUAGGGGCACGGGCAAACAUCACAAGCAAUAAGCAGAUCCGGAAACCAUUGGCGAAGCUGUGGGAGCGCUUUGAUCACUGGAUUGUUUGGGCUGUCGGCAGCCGAACCCGUGGAGUCCUAUAGAAGAUUUGGAAAUUUUCGAGCAUAAUUGAUUUUAUAAACAAAUUUUUGAUUCUGCCUCCGAUCCAACCAACAUACCUUGUGGUCGGAAGUUCCAAAAAGGGCAUUACAACUACCUACGCUCCGACAGCCCUGUGGUCAGACGCACUGAAAGCUGGUGUGGGAUCCCCCAUUGGUGGCCGAACCAAUAAAAUCUAAAACCUCCGAAGGCAAAACCGAUUUCCCGACGGCCCCGUGGUUUCGUUUCCAAACCGAAGGAACUUGUCCCGGAUCUGGGCGAACUCAAGCAGACUCAACCCUUCCGAUCGGUGUAUCGGAUCUCGCAUGCAGAUGGUCAUCGGCAGCAGCGGGCCCAGACACUAACACCACAAACAUAAAAACCACCGCCACACCUCGCCAGCCACCCUCCACCGCCAACCGCCCACCCUUCAAAUCAACAUGCACCAGAAUCACGCAGCAUAUGAAGAGAAACAUAUUUCCUUAUACAAAUUUUGUUCAAUGUAAAGUGAUAACUGAUAGCUCAGUUACAAACCGCCAAAAGCAAUCCCUUAAAAGAGUACAUCUCACUGGGAUUGUAUCUGCCUAACUGAAAAACUAUUGUAAAAUGAUUGUAAAACUGAU